UACACGCUGUGACUAGCAUAUCAAUAAGCGGAGGAAAAGAAACUAACAAGGAUUCCCCUAGUAACGGCGAGUGAAGCGGGAAGAGCUCAAAUUUGAAAUCUUAAAGGGUUUCCCUUUACGAAUUGUAGUUUAAAGAAGUGUUUUCUGUUGAGGUUUUGGUAAAAGUUCUUUGGAAUAGGACAUCAUAGAGGGUGAGAAUCCCGUAUUUGACCUUUACUUUCAACUUUGUGAUACACUUUCAAAGAGUCGGAUUGUUUGGGAAUGCAGUCCAAAAUGGGUGGUAAAUUUCAUCUAAAGCUAAAUAUUGGCGAGAGACCGAUAGCGAACAAGUACCGUGAGGGAAAGAUGAAAAGAACUUUGAAAAGAGAGUUAAACAGUACGUGAAAUUGUCAAAAGGGAAGCGUUUGACACCAGUGUUGUUUUUCUGAAAAUCAAUUAAAGAACUGUUUAUGCUAAGCUGUUUAGACUUUAUCAGCUAUCUGUUUAGUUUUGAGCUUUUCUUUAAUGCACUUUUCAGUUAACAAGUCAACAUCAAUUUCUUUUGCUGUAAAAAAGCUUGAGGAAGGUGGCUUGAGAUUCGUCUUAAGUGUUUAUAGCCUCUUGCCUAUGCAGUCGGAGAGAUUGAGGUCUGCAGCGUAGAUCCUUCGGGGCUAAAUGCAUUUGUGCUAAGUUAUAGCAUUUUAUAGACAACUUGUUGACUAUGAUUUGUCUUGUAGCUUACUCGCUUAUGUUAUUUUACCUACGCUUAGGAUGUUGAAGAUGUAGCACAUCAU
rnacentral:rRNA from 1 species